rnacentral:tRNA from 2 species
GCCCUUAUGGCGUAGUGGUAGCGCGUCGGUCUUGUAAACCGAAGGUCCCUAGUUCGAUCCUGGGUGGGGGCA